UACAGAGGUGGCAAGCGUUGUUCGGAAUUACUGGGCGUAAAGGGUGCGUAGGCGGCGCGGUAAGUCGGAUGUGAAAUCUCGGAGCUUAACUCCGAAACUGCAUUCGAUACUGCCGUGCUUGAGGACUGGAGAGGAGACUGGAAUUUACGGUGUAGCGGUGAAAUGCGUAGAUAUCGUAAGGAAGACCAGUGGCGAAGGCGGGUCUCUGGACAGUUCCUGACACUGAGGCACGAAGGCCAGGGGAGCAAACGGG
rnacentral:rRNA from 1 species